UAAGGGAGACCUACAUCUGCUAGACCGAACCCAAAUAUUAUUAGGUCAGUAGAGAGUCAACCUAAGGUCGAACGAGUUAUGUGUGUUAGAGGCUUUCAAACUAGAGGUUUGGUAUAUAAAGUACCGACAUGGGCUAUUAGCUCAGGUGGUUAGAGCGCACCCCUGAUAAGGGUGAGGUCCCUGGUUCGAGUCCAGGAUGGCCCACCUUAGGGAAGGGGGUUUAGCUCAGUUGGUAGAGCGCCUGCUUUGCAAGCAGGAUGUCAGCGGUUCGAGUCCGCUAACCUCCACUGUCGAGAUUAAUGUCUGAUAGACAGUAAUCCGCACCAACCUCAAUAUUCGUAUUUUCAUCAAGAUUAGAGAGCGAAUAGGAUCUAACUUGUGACUUCUGACUUCUGACUUCUAACUUCAGCACCUUAUCUAGUGAGAACUAGAGAGACUGCUGGACUUAAAGAGUUCAGCUAGAACCUUGAAAACUGCAUAGCAAGAAAUAAUCUGUCAGGUAGUUCAGGCAGACCUAAAGCAAAGCGCAGAGAGAGCGAGAGAAAUCUUGUUCUGGAUGAGUGGAGCUUAAGGGAUGAAUAGAACACAGACACCAAUGUAAAAAAGCCAAAAAGCGAGCUUGAGUG
rnacentral:tRNA from 1 species